rnacentral:rRNA from 1 species
CGGAGGGUGCAAGCGUUAUCCGGAUUCACUGGGUUUAAAGGGUGCGUAGGCGGGCAGGUAAGUCAGUGGUGAAAUCCUGGAGCUUAACUCCAGAACUGCCAUUGAUACUAUCUGUCUUGAAUAUUGUGGAGGUAAGCGGAAUAUGUCAUGUAGCGGUGAAAUGCUUAGAUAUGACAUAGAACACCUAUUGCGAAGGCAGCUUACUACGCAUAUAUUGACGCUGAGGCACGAAAGCGUGGGGAUCAAACAGGAUUAGAUACCCUGGUAGUCCACGCCCUAAACGAUGAUUACUCGACAUUAGCGAUACACAGUUAGUGUCUGAGCGAAAGCAUUAAGUAAUCCACCUGGGAAGUACGACCGCAAGGUUG